AGCAGCCGCGGUAAUUCCAGCUCCAAUAGCGUAUAUUAAAGUUGUUGCAGUUAAAAAGCUCGUAGUUGAAUUUCGGGGUCAGUAGGUUGGUCGUGCCAAUGGUAUGUACUGGCUUUACUGAUUCCUCCUUCUUGAAGAACUGUAAUGCCAUUAAUUUGGUGUUGCAGGGAAUCAGGACUGUUACUUUGAAAAAAUUAGAGUGUUUAAAGCAGGCUUACGCUUGAAUACAUUAGCAUGGAAUAAUGAAAUAGGACGUUGAUCUUAUUUUGUUGGUUUCUAGGAUUGACGUAAUGAUUAAUAGGGAUAGUUGGGGGCAUUAGUAUUCAAUUGUCAGAGGUGAAAUUCUUGGAUUUAUUGAAGACUGACUACUGCGAAAGCAUUUGCCAAGGAUGUUUUCAUUAAUCAAGAACGAAAGUUAGGGGAUCGAAGACGAUCAGAUACCGUCGUAGUCUUAACCAUAAACUAUGCCGACUAGGGAUCGGAUGAUGUUAAUUUUUAAUGACUCAUUCGGCGCCUUAAC
rnacentral:rRNA from 1 species